AAACAGCUGGCUCAGCUGGAAGAGCAUGAGACUCUUAAUCUUGGGGUUGUGAGUUUGAGUCCCAUGUUGGGUA
rnacentral:tRNA from 1 species